AAUUUGGUCAGCGAGGCCUCUGCCUCGCUAGAUUCGGCAAGGGGCGAGCUCGAGCUCGCCCGACACCGGCGAGCUUGAGGCUCGCCUGGCCGAUCGUCGGCCAUCGCCGUGCCGGCGACCAGAGGAAGAAGAAAGAAAUAAAAAAAAAAGAAGAAAGAAGAAAGAAAGAAAAAAAAGAAAGAAAAUUAAAAUUAAAAUAAAAAAUAAUUAUAAUUUCGGUUUUUAUAAAAAAAAAAAAAUUGCAAAGUUAAAGAGAGAAGUGAGAGGUUGUGAGGUUUUGAGUGAAAAUAAAUGGGUUCAUUUCUAAUGGAUUGAUAAAUGGGUCUUAAAUGGGUCAAAGAGCUAACCCAUUUAAGACCCAUAUAUCUUAGUCUUGACUCAUUAAAAUCCAUUAUGGAUACUUUGGGAAAUAAGCCUUGACCCAUUAACGACCCAUUUAAACAUAAAUGGGUUUAUAAAUGGGCCAAUGACCUAUUUUGACACCUCUAUAUAUAACACACGUUGCAUUAUAUCUAAAUAAAUGCACUUUGAUUCUAAUUGUAAUUCAAAUCUUUUUACCAUUCAAUUAACAAUGCAGCAUGUCCCCUUUCAUUCAGUCACCCCAGGGAAAUGUUUACCGAAACAAUGUAAUUUUCUAUCAGUUUCUCAUUACAUAACUUGAAAAGGUAACGCGAAAAUGGACCAAAUAAAAAUCCUUAUUAAUAAAAUACAUUUAGAACUACUUACAGAAAAAAGUCAGGAUAAUCAAUGAGUUGGGCUUUGAUCUAGAGAGCCCAAUACGAGAAGCGCAGCCCAUUUAUUGGUUUUUCUUUCUAACUUCAAGUAAAAGAAGUCGCAGAGGAGCACUCAGAGCAGAAUCAACCGGAACCAACUCCGAUCAAUUAGACUUUUAGUCUAACCCCUUUUCCCCGAUUCGCUUUCCUCCUCCCGCUCGGAGCUCGUUGGCUGAUCGCAAUGGCGGACGAUGACUACAACGAGUCGACAUGGGGUUCUCUCUCGUUCUCUCUCUAUCUCUCAACUUUUGUGCGUCGUCGUCUAAACAUGUCUUGUGAGAUGCAUGUCGCGCGCCCUCUCUCGGUUUAAGCUCGAUAUGAUCAUCAUUCGCAUUUUAAAGGACCAUCCUUUAGUUGGCCGAGCUGGUUUCGUACCUUCGUUGGACAUCUGCUGCUGAUUUACGUUGGCCAUAGCAUGUUGGUCGGCGCAACGUGCACAAGCAAGAUUAUGGAUAGACCAUUGAGUCCAUUGAAUGUUAUAGAUUAUAAUUUUGUUUGGUUUCUUGCUUGUACGUAAAGUAGAAUUCGCUUUUGCAUGUGGAAUUAUGCCGGAUGAACAAUUGGAAUAGAUCGUCCGGAGUUAUCAACAUUCAAUUCCCAUCUCUAAUCGCACCGCCUCCGCCAACUUUGUCCCCUGGUCCUAUAACAGAUCUAAGAUAAGCGGUUCGAAGAAAUGAACACAUUUCUGAACCAAAUGCAAAACUUAAAGGAUUGACUCAUUUGAUUUGUUUAGCAUUAUUUGAUUUGUUAUUGGAACCAAAAGAAUAAUAUAAACUUUGAAAUCUUAGAAUCAGAGUACAAAUAAAAAUUGAAAGGGAGAACUUCUUAUUGAGAAUGCUUUCGCAUUCUUGAUUUCGUGGUUAUAAUUGGAUUUACUCCUCAUGACUUCAUUUUGGUACAUGAGAAUUGAAGCUCGCAAAUGCCGAUAAUAACCUUCAAAAAGAAGACAUGACAACCUACACAUCAGUAAGAAAGAGAACAAAAUAGUCUAUUGAAGAAAAAAGAACCCAUCUUAAAGCCUUUGUGGGUUCUUUUUUAAUGCUUGCAGCUUUCUCAUUCCCGUCUUGAAGGCUCUUCUAUGGUUCUUUAAUGCUUGUAGCUUUCUCGUCCGGCAACUGAUUUGGCAACUCGAAAAAACGACAGCACCUCGAAAAAACGGCUGCUAUAUGCCCAUCGAUGUAUUAAUGAAUCCCAAACAUCUAUUACAAUAAUUUCUAAUAAAAUAAUGGUACAUAUUCAUAUCCUCGAUUGUAUAAUCUUUUUUUUUUUUUUUGGAUAAUCCAGGGAACCUCGUAAGCCGACAGCUGGCGAGCAAACCUUGGGAGAGCGACUGCAGGACCCACCACAGUACACCAAGUAAGAAUCCCUAACGAUGCUUCUGAGAUUUGAACUCAUCUCCUUCGUGAGGGGGAGAGAGCUCAAGCCAACUGCACCGCUGCGGGCAGUGGUCUCGAUUGUAUAAUCUUCAUCUUUCUAGUAUGGACAAAUAAGGACCUCAUAUUCCUAUUUCGCUAAAGGGCCCAAACGUCUGGACCGCUUUAGAUCUCGAUGCAGUCAUAUAUACAAUUUUUAAUGCAAAAG
rnacentral:lncRNA from 1 species